CCUGCAGGCGGUCUCGUAAGUGGGAUGUGAAAUCUCCUGGCUUAACUGGGAGGGGUCAUUCCAUACUGCGAGGCUCGAGGGCAGAAGAGGGAAGCGGAAUUCCCGGUGUAGUGGUGAAAUGCGUAGAUAUCGGGAGGAACACCAGUGGCGAAGGCGGCUUCCUGGCCUGCUCCUGACGCUAAGAGGCGAAAGCUAGGGAGCGAACGGGAUUAGAAACCCCGGUAGUCCUAGCCAUAAACGAUGGAUACUGGGUGUCGGUGGUCCUAACCCCAUCGGUGCCGAAGCUAACGCGUUAAGUAUCCCGCCGUGGGGACUACGGCCGCAAGGUUAAA
rnacentral:rRNA from 1 species